GCGAGCCCCGCUGCGCUGCCUUUCCCGCGCCCCCGGCAGGAGCCACCGGUGUUUUCAGCGCGCGGCGCGCUGCUAGGAUGCCGUGUGUUUUCUUCCACUAGUAACGCAGUCGGAGAGAUUUCUCCCUGUGCUCGGCAGGGAUAAAUACUACAGAUCUCUCUGGGCUGAUGCCCGAUUAAGCGAAAUUACCACUUGCUGCUUUUGUUUCUCUCUGCUCAGCAGAGGGAGACUUCUCUGCAGCGGUGAGACCUCGCUCACCCGGGCGAGCUGAAACUGGGCAGACCUAAAGAGACCGUACUGAGUGUCUCAGAAACUUAAACCUGGCAAUCGGGAAGCAAUGUGUUCCUUCGGGAUCUCUUUGUAAAUGUAGUAGACAGGGCAGGGGAGAUGAGGGGUGAAAAACAGAGGUAAACGUCAGGAUUUCCCUUUUUGUCACAGUUCUAUAAAGUGACUGUAUUUUUCGGUAGUGGAAUUUAAAACAUUUCUGACCUCUUUGUGAUAUUGCUUUUCUCUUGAGCUCGUUGCAAGUGCAUCCUGCGUUUUUCCUUUAUUAAUCAUAUUUUUAAAAAUGUAAAAGAAAGGAAAUAAUUGCUUUACAUUUUACCCUAACAUAUCUUAAAUCCCUUCCCUAUCUUUCACUGUAAAUCACCUUUGCUUAUAAAUACGUUCACAGAUAAGGAAAAGGAGCAUGAUUGCACCAUGGCCUGACCUGCUCCGAUCAGUGGGACUGGUGAGGAGUCAGAGGAUCCACUCCACUGAGUGAUCGUCCCAGGAGACGGGGGUCGGAGCAAAGCGGACAUAAGGCUCAGAGUUUCCCUGGCAGAAGUGCGAGGAAUCACCCAGCAGCUUUGUUGAAAAUCGAGUUGGAGCGUGUUUUCCAUUUUCUGCUCCAGCAUAUAAUCCCCACUUUGGCUACCGUGCAUGUCAGUAAUAAAGCAUCAGAGGAACUAUAAGUAUAGCCUAAAAUUGAAGUUUGGGUCUACCUGAGCAAGAGCCAGAGAUGGUGACGGUGUGACUGACAGACCCCAAACGAGAAGCAGCCGUAUUCAGCACCAGUGAGACUCUUUUUAAUUGUGAAAAAGAGUAGAAGAACCAAGGUUAUUUGCUUGUUUUUAAAUAAAUGCGAGUGGCAGACAACUGCUCA
rnacentral:lncRNA from 1 species